rnacentral:rRNA from 1 species
GACGAACGCUGGCGGCGUGCCUAAUACAUGCAAGUAGAACGCCGAAAGAGGAGCUUGCUUCUCCGGAUGAGUUGCGAACGGGUGAGUAACGCGUAGGUAACCUGCCUGGUAGCGGGGGAUAACUAUUGGAAACGAUAGCUAAUACCGCAUAAGAGUAGAUGUCGCAUGACAUUUGCUUAAAAGGUGCAACUGCACCCCUACCAGAUGGACCUGCGUUGUAUUAGCUAGUUGGUGAGGUAACGGCUCACCAAGGCAACGAUACAUAGCCGACCUGAGAGGGUGAUCGGCCACACUGGGACUGAGACACGGCCCAGACUCCUACGGGAGGCAGCAGUAGGGAAUCUUCGGCAAUGGACGGAGGUCUGACCGAGCAACGCCGCGUGAGUGAAGAAGGUUUUCGGAUCGUAAAGCUCUGUUGUAAGAGAAGAACGAGUGUGAGAGUGGAAAGUUCACACUGUGACGGUAUCUUACCAGAAAGGGACGGCUAACUACGUG